rnacentral:rRNA from 1 species
UACGAAGGGUGCAAGCGUUACUCGGAAUUACUGGGCGUAAAGCGUGCGUAGGCGGUUCGUUAAGUCUGUCGUGAAAGCCCGGGGCUCAACCCCGGGAGGCGGGUGGAUACUGUCAAGCUCGAGUCCGGAAGAGGAGUGUGGAAUUCCUGGUGUAGCGGUGAAAUGCGCAGAUAUCAGGAGGAACACCAAUGGCGAAGGCAGCACUCUGGGACGUGACUGACGCUGAGACGCGAAAGCGUGGGGAGCAAACAGG